UACGAAGGGGGCUAGCGUUGCUCGGAAUCACUGGGCGUAAAGGGUGCGUAGGCGGGUCUUUAAGUCAGGGGUGAAAUCCUGGAGCUCAACUCCAGAACUGCCUUUGAUACUGAGGAUCUUGAGUUCGGGAGAGGUGAGUGGAAUUGCGAGUGUAGAGGUGAAAUUCGUAGAUAUUCGCAAGAACACCAGUGGCGAAGGCGGCUCACUGGCCCGAUACUGACGCUGAGGCACGAAAGCGUGGGGAGCAAACAGG
rnacentral:rRNA from 1 species